UACAGAGGGUGCGAGCGUUAAUCGGAAUUACUGGGCGUAAAGCGUGCGCAGGCGGUUAUGUAAGACAGAUGUGAAAUCCCCGGGCUCAACCUGGGAACUGCCUUUGUGACUGCAUAGCUAGAGUACGGUAGAGGGGGAUGGAAUUCCGCGUGUAGCAGUGAAAUGCGUAGAUAUGCGGAGGAACACCGAUGGCGAAGGCAAUCCCCUGGACCUGUACUGACGCUCAUGCACGAAAGCGUGGGGAGCAAACAGG
rnacentral:rRNA from 1 species